rnacentral:rRNA from 1 species
CCUACGGGAGGCAGCAGUGGGGAAUAUUGGACAAUGGGGGGAACCCUGAUCCAGCCAUGCCGCGUGUGUGAAGAAGGCCCUCGGGUUGUAAAGCACUUUCAGUGAGGAAGAACGCCUGGUGGUUAAUACCCAUCAGGAAAGACAUCACUCACAGAAGAAGCACCGGCUAACUCCGUGCCAGCAGCCGCGGUAAUACGGAGGGUGCGAGCGUUAAUCGGAAUUACUGGGCGUAAAGCGCGCGUAGGUGGCUUGAUAAGCCGGUUGUGAAAGCCCCGGGCUCAACCUGGGAACGGCAUCCGGAACUGUCAAGCUAGAGUGCAGGAGAGGAAGGUAGAAUUCCCGGUGUAGCGGUGAAAUGCGUAGAGAUCGGGAGGAAUACCAGUGGCGAAGGCGGCCUUCUGGACUGACACUGACACUGAGGUGCGAAAGCGUGGGUGGCAAACAGGAUUAGAUACCCGUGUAGUC